rnacentral:lncRNA from 1 species
GCAUUCCAGGGUCAGACCAACUCAGCAAAGCUGUGAUUCUAGCUUUCCCAUGCCAUUUGUGAGGGGGAGGCAACAACAUUAAUUAAUAAUAAAAAGCUACCCUCAGUCUCACAAUUAGUGUGCUUGGCAAUGCUAUUGGACAUUGGAAUGCAAAUGUUCACAUCCCACCUUGAGCUUGCAGGAUUUUGAUGCAUUUCCUUUUUGUUGGACAAAAUAGUGAGUAUUCCCUAAGAUUACUUCCAGUUGCAACCUGAACAAAGAGAAAUGCAUCUAAAUAUCCUGCUCCAAAGCCUUUGAACUUCACCAAUGCAUAACUCAUGGGACACUUAUCAGUUUGUAUAAUUCUAACUGGUGUGAGAUGGUAUCUCAUUGUGCUUUUGAUUUGCAUUUCUCUGAUGGCCAGUGAUGAUGAGCAUUUUUUAUGUGCACAGCCAUGGAUUCAUAUUUAAGUUCUCUCAACUUUCCUCUUUCAUACUGCAACAUUAGACUAUGUCCAUGAAUUUUAGCUGCCAUUCAUGGA